CUGGGCCCCGUGGAAUGAGGCAGUGCUGAAUGUGUUGCUCCCGGGAGGCCAUGAAGCUCUACUGUGUGUCAUCACAUUCCCCCGUAGCGAGAGGGUCCUGGAGAGCCGCCACCACCACCGCCUCCUCCUCCUGCUUCUGAGUGUCACUUGCAGCUCCGUGGCCCAUCAAGGUUUAUGCAGAUAAAGAAAAUGACACACAUAAGGGGAGGUGACAAAAUGAAAGAAAAAUAAAGGAAGAGAGUGUCUACGGUAGCUCAGCAUCACCAUUUUAAGGGCCCAGGGAACGGAAAGGGACUUUGGCGUUCCUCUUCGGGGAGGAAUUGAGGAGAUACCUAUCUCAAAGCCUACACUAAAAUGCCAUGGAGAUUAGAGAAGACAACCCAGAAGAGAGGAGUGAACAGUCUGCCGUUGCCCUUUCUCCAAGCUGGCGUCCAAGCUGGUGUGACUCACUCCGUGCUCCUUCAGGGAAACGAUCCCUGUUCUUACUGCAUAUGGAGAAACAUCCUGGUUUCCCACGUUUUAAAUCAAUCUCAGGUUUAAGUGAAGGUGCAGGCUUAAAAGUUAUUACAGCUCCACUGUUUCCCCUGAUAAAUUACAUGAAUAACAUUUGAGACAAUGCAUUGUUAAAUAUUUAUGUCUAGUACUAUAGAACCAGAAAAAGCACAAGAACCCCUAGAAGAAUAAAUAUAUUUACCUAAAUAAAUUACUAAGACAAAUAUACUCCUAUGUGCUCUGUACCAAUAAACAGUAGGUAUUCACUAAAUUGUGGAAUAUAAAUGGCUCAUUUCCU